ACCCGCUGAACUUAAGCAUAUCAAUAAGCGGAGGAAAAGAAACCAACAGGGAUUGCCCUAGUAACGGCGAGUGAAGCGGCAACAGCUCAAAUUUGAAAUCUGGCUCUUUUAGAGUCCGAGUUGUAAUUUGCAGAGGGCGCUUUGGCUUUGGCAGCGGUCCAAGUUCCUUGGAACAGGACGUCACAGAGGGUGAGAAUCCCGUACGUGGUCGCCGGCUAUUGCCGUGUAAAGCCCCUUCGACGAGUCGAGUUGUUUGGGAAUGCAGCUCUAAAUGGGAGGUACAUUUCUUCUAAAGCUAAAUAUUGGCCAGAGACCGAUAGCGCACAAGUAGAGUGAUCGAAAGAUGAAAAGCACUUUGGAAAGAGAGUCAAACAGCACGUGAAAUUGUUGAAAGGGAAGCGCUUGCAGCCAGACUUGCUUGCAGUUGCUCAUCCGGGCUUUUGCCCGGUGCACUCUUCUGUAGGCAGGCCAGCAUCAGUUUGGGCGGUAGGAUAAAGGUCUCUGUCACGUACCUCUCUUCGGGGAGGCCUUAUAGGGGAGACGACAUACUACCAGCCUGGACUGAGGUCCGCGCAUCUGCUAGGAUGCUGGCGUAAUGGCUGU
rnacentral:rRNA from 1 species